GAUGAACGCUAGCGGCAGGCUUAAUACAUGCAAGUCGUGGGGCAGCAGGGGUGUAGCAAUACAUCUGCUGGCGACCGGCAAACGGGUGCGUAACACGUACGCAACCUUCCCGUUACUGUGGCAUAGCCCAGGGAAACUUGGAUUAAUACCACAUAUUAUAUAGAGAGGGCAUCCCUUUUAUAUCAAAGCUUCGGCGGUAACGGAUGGGCGUGCGGUUGAUUAGGUAGUUGGCGGGGUAACGGCCCACCAAGCCUACGAUCAAUAGCUGAUGUGAGAGCAUGAUCAGCCACACGGGCACUGAGACACGGGCCCGACUCCUACGGGAGGCAGCAGUAAGGAAUAUUGGGCAAUGGACGAAAGUCUGACCCAGCCAUGCCGCGUGAAGGAUUAAGGUCCUCUGGAUUGUAAACUUCUUUUCUCUGGGGCGAAAACCAGCUAUUCUUAGCUAUUUGACAGUACCAGAGGAAUAAGCACCGGCUAACUCCGUGCCAGCAGCCGCCGUAACAC
rnacentral:rRNA from 1 species